UGGGUUUGGCUGUCGGGGGGGGGUUGCUUUACGGACCUUCAGGUCCUGGAAGGGUAACACAGUUUGAAGAUGGAGAACGGCGGUGGCGCUUCUGCGGUGCAGGUGGCUUUAGGAAGACAUGUUUUCCAAAACCUUCAAAAUAGGCUGGUGCAGUCCUACCAACAGCAGCCCUUGGACCUUGAUCAUAUUGAGUUCCUCUGCGUGAACGCAUCAACUCUAGUCUGUUCUCUUUCUGCUCAUAUUAAUGUUCCAUCACUGGUAGUUGAAGCUCUUCACCACCUCAUCUGCCUCAUCCAUUCCAAUAUGGAUACAAGAAGCUUUUGGGCAUAUCGCAGAAAACAGUCCGACGAAGAAUGGAAGAGUGGGGCCUCUCAAUAACGGCAACCUACAGCUCACUAUCAGAUGAUGAACUUGACAACUUAAUUGCAGCCAUAAAACAGGAAUCGAAAGAUCUGGGCUACAGAAUGGUUAAAGGCCGCCUCAGGGCACUGGGCCACAGGGUGCAGUGGAACAGAGUAUGGGAUUCCAUGCGUCGUGUUGACAGUGCUGGAAUCCUUGAAAGGAUGGCAAAUCUUGGAUGUGUUAUUAGAAGGACAUACAGUGUUCCUGGUCCUCUGUCACUGCUCCACAUUGACACCAACUAUAAGUUAAUUAGAUAUGGACUUGUGAUGUUUGGUGUUGUUGAUGGCUUCUCAAGGAAGAUCUUGUACUUGAAAGCAGCUAACAACAACAAGGCUUCUACAGCACUGACGUUCUUGCUUGAGGCUGUACAGAAGCAUGGAUUUCCAUCGAGGCCAGGCUCACGCAACACUAAACCCGACGCCCUCUCACGUCAAUUCUCACCGGUGGGGGAUGCAGAGGACAGAGACAAACCCAUCCUGCCUGCUUCCUGUAUCGUCGGGGCGGUCACCUGGGAAAUCGAGGGGCUGAUCAGAAACGCCCUGCAGCAGGACCCUGACCCUGGGUCUGGCCCGGUGGGCCGGCAGUAUGUCCCUGUGGCCGUUCGGGGCAAGGUGAUCCAUUGGGUACAUACGGCAAAAUUCUCCUGCCAUCCGGGUCGACAUCGCACCCUUAGCUUCCUCCAGCGUCUGUUUUGGUGGCCCUCCCUCGCCAAGGACUUCCGGGAAUAUGUGGCUGCCUGCCCUAUUUUUGCUCAAAACAAGGUGCCAAGCUCCCCACCGUCGGGCCACCUGCGACCGCUCCCCGUCCCUAAACGCCCAUGGUCGCACAUUGCCGUGGAUUUCGUCACAGGACUGCCGCCCGCAGCAGGUAAUACCACCAUACUCACAAUCAUUGACCGCUUCUCCAAGGCGGCGCAUUUUGUGGCCUUGCCCAAACUUCCCUCUGCCUUGGAGACGGCUCAGCUGCUCACACAACAUGUGUUCCGGCUACAUGGCGUUCUUCAAGAUGUUGUCUCUGAUCGGGGUCCCCAGUUCACCUCCCAGGUGUGGAGGGAAUUUUGUUCUGAGCUGGGGGCCCGCGUCAGUUUGUCGUCUGGUUUUCACCCUCAGACUAAUGGCAGGCUGAAAAGGCUAACCAGGAGCUGGAAGCGAUGUUGUGGUGCGUUGCCUCCUCCAACCAGUCCUCCUGGAGCGAGCAUUUGGCCUGGGUGGAGUAUGCCCACAACGCUAGCACCUCGACAGCCACAGGGGUGUCUCCCUUCGAGGCGUCCUUGGGAUACCAACCUUGGGAUCCUUUAGUGCAACAUCACAUGCGGCGUUGCCGACGGGCAUGGCGGACUACCAGGGCGGCAUUACUCAGGACAGCAGAGCAGAAUAAGAAGCUGGCGGACCGCCAUCGCGUUCCGGCUCCUGUUUACCGUGUCGGGCAGCAGGAGGUGGAGAGGAGAACACGGGAGCUGGGUGAAUGGACCACGGGGAGCCACGGCCGAGGGAUUUCACUGGACUGUUAUUGUUUCACUCUGUAAAUAAAUUCACUGUCUCAUUGCAAGGAGAUCUGCGCUCGAGUCCGCUUUUUCCACACACCAC